UACAGAGGGGGCUAGCGUUGUUCGGAAUUACUGGGCGUAAAGCGCACGUAGGCGGAUCAGUCAGUUAGAGGUGAAAGCCCAGGGCUCAACCCUGGAACUGCCUUUAAUACUGCUGGUCUGGAGUCCGAGAGAGGUGAGUGGAAUUCCGAGUGUAGAGGUGAAAUUCGUAGAUAUUCGGAGGAACACCAGUGGCGAAGGCGGCUCACUGGCUCGGUACUGACGCUGAGGUGCGAAAGCGUGGGGAGCAAACAGG
rnacentral:rRNA from 1 species